rnacentral:rRNA from 1 species
UGAGGAAUAUUGGACAAUGGGCGAAAGCCUGAUCCAGCAAUACCGCGUGAGUGAAGAAGGCCUUAGGGUUGUAAAGCUCUUUCAGCAGGAAAAAUAAUGAUGGUACCUGCAGAAGAAGUUCCGGCUAACUCCGUGCCAGCAGCCGCGGUAAUACGGAGGGAACUAGCGUUGUUCGGAUUUACUGGGCGUAAAGGGCGCGUAGGCGGCUUAUUAAGUUAGAAGUGAAAGCCCAGGGCUUAACCCUGGAACUGCUUCUAAAACUAGUAGGCUAGAGUGCGGGAGAGGAUAGCGGAAUUCCUAGUGUAGAGGUGAAAUUCUUAGAUAUUAGGAGGAACACCGGUGGCGAAAGCGGCUAUCUGGAACGUAACUGACGCUGAGGCGCGAAAGCGUGGGGAGCAAA